rnacentral:rRNA from 1 species
AUGAACGCUGGCGGCGGCCUAACAAUGCAAGUCGAACGGUAACAUUUCUAGCUUGCUAGAAGAUGACGAGUGGCGGACGGGUGAGUAAUGCUUGGGAACUUGCCUUUGCGAGGGGGAUAACAGUUGGAAACGACUGCUAAUACCGCAUAAUGUCUUCGGACCAAACGGGGCUUCGGCUCCGGCGCAAAGAGAGGCCCAAGUGAGAUUAGCUAGUUGGUAAGGUAACGGCUUACCAAGGCGACGAUCUCUAGCUGUUCUGAGAGGAAGAUCAGCCACACUGGGACUGAGACACGGCCCAGACUCCUACGGGAGGCAGCAGUGGGGAAUAUUGCACAAUGGGGGAAACCCUGAUGCAGCCAUGCCGCGUGUGUGAAGAAGGCCUUCGGGUUGGUAAGCACUUUCAGUUGUGAGGAAAAGUUAGUAGUUAAUACCUGCUAGCCGUGACGUUAACAACAGAAGAAGCACCGGCUAACUCCGUGCCAGCAGCCGCGGUAAUACGGAGGGUGCGAGCGUUAAUCCGGAAUUACUGGGCGUAAAGCGCACG